ACUAGCUCUAUGCAUGUGUUGAAACUUCACUUCUCAGCUUCCCAGAACAGACACGCUCUCAAGCAUUCUGUCUAACUUUGUUAAUGUGUUGCCUCUGGUUUGGGGAUUUGGAACUAAUUAAACAGCUGCCGUGUUGUAAGCUGUCCUAUGAAGAGGGCCACAUGACAAGAAACUGAUGCAACCAACAGCCAUUGAGGACCUGAGGCUUGUCAGCAGCCAUUUAAGUGAGCUUGGAAGUAGAUUAAAAUGACUGUAGGCCUGACCUCCACCUUAU